rnacentral:tRNA from 1 species
GGCUUUGUAGUGUAAAAAUAAGACAUCAGACUGCAAUUCUGAAGAUGCGCUGUAGCGCCAAAGCUU